rnacentral:rRNA from 1 species
UUGGCUCCUGCAACGAUGAAGAACGCAGCGAAAUGCGAUACGUUAUGUGAAUUGCAGAAUUCCGCGAAUCAUCGAGUCUUUGAACGCAACUUGCGCCCGAGGCUUGUCCGAGGGCAUUUCCGCUAGAGCGUCACC